CUCUAAUUAGUAUAAUUAAUUAGUACAUUUGUCUUCCAAACAAAAAGGCUGCAAGUUCAGAUUAGAGAC
rnacentral:tRNA from 1 species